rnacentral:lncRNA from 1 species
GAGACAAACCAUAAGAGUCUCUUAACUAUAGAAAACAAACUGAGGGUUGCUGGAGGGGAGUUGUGUGGGUGGAUGGGGUAACUGGGUGAUGGACAUUAAGGAGGGCACUUGACAUAAUGAGCACUGGGUGUUAUUUGCAACUCAUGACUUGUUAAGUUCUACCUCUGAAACUAAUAAUGCAGUAUAUAUUACUUAAAUUGAAUUUAAAUUAAGAAGAAACAUUCACACCCUUUUCAGGAAAACACUGGAGAAUGGGUUGUGCAAAAUAAGGAAAGAAACCAUGAAGACAUAGGAUCCAGGAAACAAGACCUGAACCAGGAAUGAGACAAAGGGAUGUCCAGGUUUUAUUUAUUUUUUGGAAAAAGCAAGACAGGAAUAGUGAGAGAAGGCCGGAGCAGGGAGGAGAGGGAGAAGCAGGCUCCCCACUGAGCAGGGCGGCCUGAUCCGGGACUCGACGCCAGGACUGCAGGAUCAUGACCUGAGCUGAAGGCAGUUGCUUCGCCAAGCAAGCCACCCAGGCACUCUGCACUUGAUUUCUAUCACUAUAGUGUAGUUUUCGUGUUCCUGAACUUCAUGUACGUGAACUCAGAUAGAAUGUCUCUUUUUGUGUCAUUUCUUUUGUUCAACAUGUUUUUGAGAUUAUUCCAUGCUGUUGUAUUCUUUUCUAUUGCUGAAUACCAUUCCAUUACAUGAAUAUUCCAUUCGUUUAUCUAUUCUCACUUUGAUGACCAUUUUAGUUGUUUCUACACACUGAAUUUUAAAAUAAGUAAAAUUGUUUUAAAAGGUUUAGAACUUUUUUUUAUGGUGGAGAAUUUUUUUUUAAUGAAGUCAGAAUUACAUUCCUAACUGAUUAUCUAGAAAAUUGGAAUUAGAUUCUCCGUCCCUAUUCUGUAGACUCUUUCUUUGAAAGAUAGAAAUUUGAAUGUAAAGGAAAAUAUGUCUUGAUGGUCCCUCAGUUCCCAUUCUGAAUCUUUAAAGCCAUAUUAAAU